ensembl:snRNA U6 U6 spliceosomal RNA
AUGCUUGCUUUGGCAGCAUAUACACUAAAAUUGGAACAAUACAGAGAAGAUUAGCAUGGCCUCUGUGCCUUAAAAAAUGAAACACAAAUUCAUGAAGUAGUCCACAUUUUU